GAUGAACGCUGGCGGCGUGCCUAAUACAUGCAAGUCGAGCGAACAGAUGAGAAGCUUGCUUCUCUGAUGUUAGCGGCGGACGGGUGAGUAACACGUGGGUAACCUACCUAUAAGACUGGGAUAACUCCGGGAAACCGGGGCUAAUACCGGAUAAUAUUUUGAACCGCAUGGUUCAAUAGUGAAAGACGGUUUCGGCUGUCACUUAUAGAUGGUCCAGCGCUGUAUUAGCUAGUUGGGAAGGUAACGGCUUACCAAGGCGACGAUACGUAGCCGACCUGGGAGGGUGAUCGGCCACACUGGAACUGAGACACGGUCCAGACUCCUACGGGAGGCAGCAGUAGGGAAUCUUCCGCAAUGGGCGAAAGCCUGACGGAGCAACGCCGCGUGAGUGAUGAAGGUCUUCGGAUCGUAAAACUCUGUUGUUAGGGAAGAACAAAUUUGUUAGUAACUGAACAAGUCUUGACGGUACCUAACCAGAAAGCCACGGCUAACUACGUGCCAGCCGCCGCCGUAA
rnacentral:rRNA from 1 species